rnacentral:rRNA from 1 species
AUCCCAGACUCCUACGGGAGGCAGCAGUGGGGAAUAUUGCACAAUGGGGGAAACCCUGAUGCAGCGACGCCGCGUGAGUGAAGAAGUAAUUCGUUAUGUAAAGCUCUAUCAGCAGGGAAGAAAAUGACGGUACCUGAGUAAGAAGCCCCGGCUAACUACGUGCCAGCAGCCGCGGUAAUACGGAGGAUCCGAGCGUUAUCCGGAUUUAUUGGGUUUAAAGGGAGCGUAGACGGCACUGCAAGUCCGGAGUGAAAGCCCAAGGCUUAACCAUGGGACUGCUCUGGAAACUGUGGAGCUUGAGUGCGGGAGGGGCAGGCGGAAUUCCUAGUGUAGCGGUGAAAUGCGUAGAUAUUAGGAGGAACACCGGCGGCGAAGGCGGCCUGCUGGACCGUAACUGACGUUGAGGCUCGAAAGCGUGGGGAGCAAACAGGAUUAGAUACCCGAGUA